rnacentral:rRNA from 1 species
UGGCCUACCAAGGCGACGACGGGUAGCCGGCCUGAGAGGGUGACCGGCCACACUGGGACUGAGAUACGGCCCAGACUCCUACGGGAGGCAGCAGUGGGGAAUAUUGCACAAUGGGCGCAAGCCUGAUGCAGCGACGCCGCGUGAGGGAUGACGGCCUUCGGGUUGUAAACCUCUUUCAAUAGGGACGAAGCGCAAGUGACGGUACCUAUAGAAGAAGGACCGGCCAACUACGUGCCAGCAGCCGCGGUAAUACGUAGGGUCCGAGCGUUGUCCGGAAUUACUGGGCGUAAAGAGCUCGUAGGUGGUUUGUCGCGUUGUUCGUGAAAACUCACAGCUUAACUGUGGGCGUGCGGGCGAUACGGGCAGACUAGAGUACUGCAGGGGAGACUGGAAUUCCUGGUGUAGCGGUGGAAUGCGCAGAUAUCAGGAGGAACACCGGUGGCGAAGGCGGGUCUCUGGGCAGUAACUGACGCUGAGGAGCGAAAGCGUGGGGAGCGAACAGGAUUAGAUACCCUGGUAGUCCACGCCGUAAACGGUGGGUACUAGGUGUGGGUUUCCUUCCUUGGGAUCCGUGCCGUAGCUAACGCAUUAAGUACCCCGCCUGGGGAGUACGGCCGCAAGGCUAAAACUCAAAGAAAUUGACGGGGGCCCGCACAAGCGGCGGAGCAUGUGGAUUAAUUCGAUGCAACGCGAAGAACCUUACCUGGGUUUGACAUGCACAGGACGCCAGUAGAGAUAUUGGUUCCCUUGUGGCCUGUGUGCAGGUGGUGCAUGGCUGUCGUCAGCUCGUGUCGUGAGAUGUUGGGUUAAGUCCCGCAACGAGCGCAACCCUUAUCUUAUGUUGCCAGCGCGUAAUGGCGGGGACUCGUGAGAGACUGCCGGGGUCAACUCGGAGGAAGGUGGGGAUGACGUCAAGUCAUCAUGCCCCUUAUGUCCAGGGCUUCACACAUGCUACAAUGGCCGGUACAAAGGGCUGCGAUGCCGUGAGGUGGAGCGAAUCCUUUCAAAGCCGGUCUCAGUUCGGAUCGGGGUCUGCAACUCGACCCCGUGAAGUCGGAGUCGCUAGUAAUCGCAGAUCAGCAACGCUGCGGUGAAUACGUUCCCGGGCCUUGUACACACCGCCCGUCACGUCAUGAAAGUCGGUAACACCCGAAGCCGGUGGCCUAACCCUUGUGGAGGGAGC